CGGCCGUACCAUGCAGAAUAUACCGGUUCUCGUUAGAUCACCGAAGUCAAGCAUCAUUGGGCGCGGUCAGUACUUGGGUGGGUGACCACCUGGGAACACCGCGUGCCGUU
rnacentral:rRNA from 1 species